GUGUUCGUAGUGUAGUGGUUAUCACGUUUGCCUCACACACGAAAGGCCCCCGGUUCGAACCCGGGCGAAAACA
rnacentral:tRNA from 1 species